AUUGAACGCUGGCGGCGUGCCUAAUACAUGCAAGUCGAACGCAGUGGGGACGGGUGAGUAACACGUGGGUAACCUCCCAUCAGAGGGGAUAACCCUUGGAAACAGGUGCUAAACCGAUCCUGAUGGAUGGACCCGCGGUGCAUUAGCUUGUUGGUGGGGUAACGGCUCACCAAGGCCACGAUGCAGAGCCGACCGGAGAGGGUGAUCGGCCACACUGGGACGGAGAAACGGCCCAGACUCCUACGGGAGGCAGCAGUAGGGAAUCUUCGGCAAUGGACGAAAGUCUGACCGAGCAACGCCGCGGGAGUGAAGAAGGUUUUCGGAUCGUAAAACUCUGUUGUUAGAGAAGCGGUAUCUAACCAGAAAGCCACGGCUAAAUACGGGCCAGCAGCCGCGGUAAUUC
rnacentral:rRNA from 1 species